UAGAGUUUGAUCCUGGCUCAGAACGAACGCUGGCGGCAGGCCUAAAACAUGCAAGUCGAACGAUUGUAGCAAUACAGUAGUGGCGCACGGGUGAGUAACAUGUGGGAAUAUGCCUUUUGGUACGGAACAACUUUUGGAAACGAAAGCUAAUACCGUAUGGUCCCUUCGGGGUAAAGAUUUAUCGCCAAAAGAGUAGCCCGCACUGGAUUAGCUAGUUGGUAAGGUAAUGGCUUACCAAGGCGACGAUCCAUAGCUGGUCUGAGAGGACGAUCAGCCACACUGGGACUGAGACACGGCCCAGACUCCUACGGGAGGCAGCAGUUAGGAAUAUUGGACAAUGGRMSRAARKUYKRWYCCAGCCAUGCCGCGUGAGCGAUGAAGGCCUUCGGGUUGUAAAGCUCUUUAGUCCACGAAUAUAAUGACUGUAGUGGAAGAAUAAGCCCCGGCUAACUUCGUGCCAGCWGCCGCGGUAAUAC
rnacentral:rRNA from 1 species